GCGCCGUUGGUGUAAGGCGAACAUCGUUGCCCGAAAAGCAGUAGAUGCGGGUUCGAGUCCCGCCUGGUGCA
rfam:Heligmosomoides polygyrus genome assembly, scaffold: HPBE_scaffold0016446